rnacentral:rRNA from 1 species
GCGGGGCGUGUCUAGUAUAGCAUUAUACCGCGAAACUGCGAAUGGCUCAUUAUAUAAGUUAUCGUUUAUUUGAUAGUACCUUACUACUUGGAUAACCGUGGUAAUUCUAGAGCUAAUACAUGCUAAAAAUCCCGACUUCGGAAGGGAUGUAUUUAUUAGAUUAAAAACCAAUGCCCUUCGGGGCUCACUGGUGAUUCAUGAUAACUCCUCGAAUCGCAUGGCCUUGUGCCGGCGAUGGUUCAUUCAAAUUUCUUCCCUAUCAACUUUCGAUGUUUGGGUAUUGGCCAAACAUGGUUGCAACGGGUAACGGAGGGUUAGGGCUCGACCCCGGAGAAGGAGCCUGAGAAACGGCUACUACAUCCAAGGAAGGCAGCAGGCGCGCAAAUUACCCAAUCCCGACACGGGGAGGUAGUGACAAUAAAUACUGAUACAGGGCUCUUUUGGGUCUUGUAAUUGGAAUGAGUACAAUUUAAAUCCCUUAACGAGGAACAAUUGGAGGGCAAGUCUGGUGCCAGCAGCCGCGGUAAUUCCAGCUCCAAUAGCGUAUAUUAAAGUUGUUGUGGUUAAAAAGCUCGUAGUUGAACCUUGGGCCUGGCUGGCCGGUCCGCCUCACCGCGUGUACUGGUCCGGCCGGGCCUUUCCCUCUGUGGAACCCCAUGCCCUUCACUGGGUGUGGCGGGGAAACAGGACUUUUACUGUGAAAAAAUUAGAGUGCUCCAGGCAGGCCUAUGCUCGAAUACAUUAGCAUGGAAUAAUAGAAUAGGACGUGUGGUUCUAUUUUGUUGGUUUCUAGGACCGCCGUAAUGAUUAAUAGGGACAGUCGGGGGCAUCAGUAUUCAAUUGUCAGAGGUGAAAUUCUUGGAUUUAUUGAAGACUAACUACUGCGAAAGCAUUUGCCAAGGAUGUUUUCAUUAAUCAGGAACGAAAGUUAGGGGAUCGAAGACGAUCAGAUACCGUCGUAGUCUUAACCAUAAACUAUGCCGACUAGGGAUCGGAACGGUGUUAUUUUUUUGACCCGUUUCGGCACCUUACGAGAAAAUCAAAGUGCUUGGGGCUCCAGGGGGGAGUAUGGGUCCCAAGGCUGAAAAUUUAAGAAAAUUUGACGGAAGGGGCCCCCCCCGGGGGGGGAGACCCGGCGGCUUUAAUUUUGACUCCACCCCGGGGGAAAAUUCCCCCCGGGCCCCAAACCCAAUGGAGGGAAUUGGCCAAAUUUUGGAGACCUCUUUCCUCGAAAUU